CAGCCGUAAACAAUGUGCGUUAGGUGUGUCGGUAACCACGCGUUACUGAUGCGCCGAAGAGAAAUCGUGAAACGCACCACCUGGGAAGUACGGUCGCAAGGCUGAAACUUAAAGGAAUUGGCGGGGGAGCACCACAACAGGUGGAGCCUGCGGUUUAAUUGGAUUCAACGCCGGACAUCUCACCGGAUAAGACAGCUGAAUGAUUGUCAAUCUGAAGGUUUUACAUGACUAGCUGAGAGGAGGUGCAUGGCCGUCAGUGACU
rnacentral:rRNA from 1 species